rnacentral:lncRNA from 1 species
CAUCCACUGCCAGAAACACAUCUGAAAUGGAGGACCAGCAUGGGCAUACAUGGUUGCUGUGCGAACCACUCCACCUCUCCCAUACCUCCACAUGGCCUGCACAUGCCAGCCGCCACCUGUCGCAACGUAAGCAUCUGAUCAAGAUCGUAGGUCUGUGAUCAGUGAUGGAGGGGACACUGUGGACCAACCAAUCAUAGAAGUUAUCAUGCCUUGAAUAAAGGAAAGAAUGGUAUCGAACCACCUCAUAGACCAAAUAAUACAGCGUCGACAUCAUCUUCUACAGUGAUCACAAUGAUGAUGCCUCCUAACCUUUAUAAGUAGUGAUAAGGCUCUUUGACACAAGUUUGUAGAGUGUGCUCUUUUCUGAGCAA